AACGAACGCUGGCGGCAUGCCUAACACAUGCAAGUCGAACGAGAUCUUCGGGUCUAGUGGCGCACGGGUGCGUAACGCGUGGGAAUCUGCCCUUUGGUUCGGAAUAACAGUUGGAAACGACUGCUAAUACCGGAUGAUGACGAAAGUCCAAAGAUUUAUAGCAAGAGGAGGAGCCCGCGUAGGAUUGACUAGUUGGUGUGGUAAAGGCGCACAAAGGCGACGAUCCUGAGCUGGUUUGAGAGGAUGAUCAGCCAGACUGGGACUGAGACACGGCCCAGACUCCUACGGUAGGCAGCGUUGGGGAAGCUUAGACAAUGGGGGAAACCCUGAUCGAGCCAUGCCGCGUGAUCGAUGAAGGCCUUAGGGUUGUAAAGAUCUUUCAGUUGGGAAGAUAAUGACUGUACCACCAGAAUAAGCCCCGGCUAACUCCGUGCCAGCAGCCGCCGUAA
rnacentral:rRNA from 1 species